AGUGAACGCUGGCGGCGUGCUUAACACAUGCAAGUCGAACGAGAACGGAUUAUAGCUUGCUAUAAUUGUCAGCUAAGUGGCACACGGGUGAGUAAUGUAUAGGUAAUAUGCUUCUUACUAAGGGAUAACAAAUGGAAACGUUUGCUAAUACCUUAUACUCCUUAUUAACAGAAGUUAAUAAGGGAAAGAUUUAUUGGUAAGAGAUUAGCCUGUAUUGUAUCAGUUAGUUGGUGGGGUAAUGGCUUACCAAGACUAUGACACAUAACUGGUUUGAGAGGAUGAUCAGUCACACUGGAACUGAGACACGGUCCAGACUCCUACGGGAGGCAGCAGUGGGGAAUAUUGCACAAUGGACGAAAGUCUGAUGCAGCAACGCCGCGUGGAGGAUGACACAUUUCGGUGCGUAAACUCCUUUUAUAUGAGAAGAUAAUGACGGUAUUAUAUGAAUAAGCACCGGCUAACUCCGUGCCAGCCGCCGCUGUAA
rnacentral:rRNA from 1 species